CUUGUGCUCGAGUGUCUAGUUGAG
rnacentral:siRNA from 1 species